GCUCGAUUAGAAAUGCGAAGAACGGGAUUUGCCAGGACGGAGGCUUGCAUUGCUGUUGCUCCGGCCAUGAUUUACAACAAAUUGUACACAAGACUCAGUUUGGAACGGCGGAUGAGAAGUUGCAGGAAAAUCAAAAGAAGCGGCAAACACAACCGGAAUCUGUAGCCACCCCCCCUGCCCCGACUCCUGCUCUAAAGGUGAGUACGAAGUUCUCGGACGUGUUGGCAUUCAGUGGGCCAGCUCCAGAGAGGAUUAACGGUAGGCUGGCCAUGAUUGGUUUUGUUGCUGCAAUGGCAGUGGAGUUAUCCAAGGGCCACGAUCUGUUUGCCCAGAUAUCCAACGGUGGAGUCACAUGGUUUGUAGGAACAAGUGUCGUGCUCUCUCUCGCGUCUCUAAUCCCCUUGUUUAAAGGGGUAAGCGUAGAGUCAAAAUCAGAUGGAUUCAUGACAUCCGACGCGGAGCUGUGGAAUGGGAGAUUUGCUAUGUUGGGUUUGGUUGCGUUGGCCUUCACAGAAUAUGUCAAAGGUGGGGCUCUUAUAUGAUAUAAUUGCGAACGUUUGUAUUGUACGCGUGUACCGUAGUAAUGUCAAAUCAGCUAGUGUAAGUUUUUUUUUUUCUUUUUUUUUUUUAUUUUUUUUUUUAUUUUUUUUUUUUAUUUUUUUUUUUAUUUUUUUUUUUUAUUUUUUUUUUUA
rnacentral:misc_RNA from 1 species